GUUGUAUUAUUACUGCGGAUGAGGUUUUGCUCUUGAAUUCCCUUGACAACUAUGUGCUUCGCUAUGUUGUUGAGCUGCAGCAGAGACUAAAGGCAAGUUCUGUUACUGAGGUUUGGAAUCAGGACACACUCGAAUUGAGCAGGAGGAGGAGUAGAAGUUUAGACAAUGUGUUUCAGAACUCAUCCCCUGAUUAUUUACCUUUCGAGUUCAGGGCUCUUGAAGUUGCCCUUGAAGCUGCUUGUACCUUCCUUGAUUCCCAGGUCAGUGAUCGAUCGAUUCAGAACUUCUUGAAUUUAGUAUGCUCAGCAUUAAUAUUAGAUUUCCCUUUGUAGGCUUCAGAGUUAGAGAUUGAGGCAUACCCAUUAUUGGAUGAGCUUACCUCAAAGAUCAGUACUUUAAACUUGGAGCGUGCACGUAGA
rnacentral:lncRNA from 1 species